rnacentral:rRNA from 1 species
AGUGAACGCUGGCGGCGUGCUUAACACAUGCAAGUCGAACGAGAACGGAUUAUAGCUUGCUAUAAUUGUCAGCUAAGUGGCGCACGGGUGAGUAAUGUAUAGGUAAUAUGCCUCUUACUAAGGGAUAACAAAUGGAAACGUUUGCUAAUACCUUAUACUCCUUAUUAACAUAAGUUAAUAAGGGAAAGAUUUAUUGGUAAGAGAUUAGCCUGUAUUGUAUCAGUUAGUUGGUGGGGUAAUGGCUUACCAAGACUAUGACACAUAACUGGUUUGAGAGGAUGAUCAGUCACACUGGAACUGAGACACGGUCCAGACUCCUACGGGAGGCAGCAGUGGGGAAUAUUGCACAAUGGACGGAAGUCUGAUGCAGCAACGCCGCGUGGAGGAUGAAGGCCCUCGGGUUGUAAACUGCUUUUGUACGGAACGAAAAGGUUUCCAUUAUACUGGGAGCUCAUGACGGUACCGUAAGAAUAAGCACCGGCUAACUACGUGCCAG